UACGAGGGGGGCAAGCGUUGUUCGGAAUUAUUGGGCGUAAAGGGCGCGUAGGCGGUGCGGUAAGUCACCUGUGAAACCUCUAGGCUUAACCUAGAGCCUGCAGGCGAAACUGCCGUGCUGGAGUGUGGGAGAGGUGCGUGGAAUUCCUGGUGUAGCGGUGAAAUGCGUAGAGAUCAGGAGGAACACCAAUGGCGAAGGCAGCUCUCUGGCUUCACCCUGACGCUGAGGCGCGAAAGCGUGGGGAGCGAACGGG
rnacentral:rRNA from 1 species